GGUAGGUUUGAGUGCGCGUAUCAGGGUCUUAGCAAGCCUUGCUGCCUACAUUAGAGAGCGGCGCUACUCCCCAUGACUCACUUUGCUCCUGCUUGCCUGCCAUCUGCGACCGCCGACCCCGCCGUUCCCUGCCCAGCCCUACGUAGUGACGUAAGACACCCGAUGUUAUUUUGCUGUCUUGCGAAGGAAACGAUGAAGUUACAAUCCCGAAAAGAAACUUGUAUGUGUAACCGACUGACUUUCCUGUGGCUAUGGUCUGCGGGAUUGUCAAUGCGUGCUAUUGCACACCACACCGGCAGAAGUCCCCACACGGUGCGGCGAUGGCUGCGCUGGUGGUAUGAAGCUCCACUGGACCAACGCAUCGGCUACCACUACAGUUUGCCUGACGCCGCGACCAGCACAAGCACGGAGCUGCCAAUCAGCGUGACACACAGCGACCUCUCCUCCUUCACAUCACUGUCGCCAAGAUGGACUGGUGUUCGGGGGAGCACAUCGCCCCCGUCCUUGCACGACGCUGGCCUCGUUCAAUCUAGAUCGUUGCACCACAGUACUUAUGGAGUUUUUGCGCCUUUUUGCACUCCACACUAGUAAAACGUUUUCAUAUCUUAAACAUUCACAUUCGACUUCAGCUUUCCGAUUACGUGUGCGUGUAUCUACCCCGGAGGCGAUGACGUCCCUUCCAAAGGCACAUGCACAGCAACAGUCCGAGGUCUAGACGUCUCACGUCUCAGUAAAGCCUGUGCGUGAAGGACGCUCGGAAGCUUUCUAUACACAAGUGCUCAGGUUUGCAAAUCACACAUACAUACACACACACACAAAAAAAAAAAAAAAAAGUUUUCCUUUUCAAUCGAAUUUGAGCGUGUUAUCCAACAAAUAGCUAACGAAUAAAUAUGUCCGAUGUUCACUGUAUCGUUGUUACUCUUGUGUCGCACGCUGACAUCCUGCUGUGAGUGUACGUCACAUUCCUAAAUAUGAACUUUGCCUAAA